rnacentral:sRNA from 1 species
UCCACGCGGUCACAUUGCCGGAGGAUGACGAGCAGGUCCAUAUUCCGGCGACGGAACGUGCGCGUA